UACGAAGGGGGCUAGCGUUGCUCGGAAUCACUGGGCGUAAAGCGCACGUAGGCGGAUUGUUAAGUCAGGGGUGAAAUCCUGGAGCUCAACUCCAGAACUGCCUUUGAUACUGGCGAUCUUGAGUCCGGGAGAGGUGAGUGGAACUGCGAGUGUAGAGGUGAAAUUCGUAGAUAUUCGCAAGAACACCAGUGGCGAAGGCGGCUCACUGGCCCGAUACUGACGCUGAGGUGCGAAAGCGUGGGGAGCGAACAGG
rnacentral:rRNA from 1 species